CUUUGCAAAAGUAACCAGCUCCCCAACCUCAAGCUUGCAAGCAAACUUAUUUGAGAAGUUAAACCCAUAAAGUCAUCUCACCUGAACUUGCAAAUCCGAUUAUUUGUUCUGGGAAAUACUGAGGGGAGAGGAGGCUUUCCCUUGUGACAAGGCAUCCCUGUCUGGGGCACCCACAUGCAACAGGCCGCAUCAUGACAGGAUAAAUUGUGAUCCUGGCAUGUCCUGACUGUAUAUGAGUGCAGAAGCAGAUUUGGAACAUAAACCCACAACCUUCUGGCC